rnacentral:rRNA from 1 species
GACGAACGCUGGCGGCGUGCUUAACACAUGCAAGUCGAGCGGAAGGGCUCCUUCGGGGGUACUCGAGCGGCGAACGGGUGAGUAACACGUGAGUAAUCUGCCCUGCGCUCUGGGAUAGCCACCGGAAACGGGGAUUAAUACCGGAUAUGACCGCUACACGCAUGUGUUGGUGGUGGAAAGUUUUUCGGCGCAGGAUGUGCUCGCGGCCUAUCAGCUUGUUGGUGAGGUAAUGGCUCACCAAGGCUUUGACGGGUAGCCGGCCUGAGAGGGUGACCGGUCACACUGGGACUGAGACACGGCCCAGACUCCUACGGGAGGCAGCAGUGGGGAAUAUUGGACAAUGGGCGGAAGCCUGAUCCAGCAACGCCGCGUGAGGGAUGACGGCCUUCGGGUUGUAAACCUCUUUCAGUACCGACGAAGCGAAAGUGACGGUAGGUACAGAAGAAGGACCGGCCAACUACGUGCCAGCCGCCGCGGUAAGAC